rnacentral:rRNA from 1 species
AACGAACGCUGGCGGCAUGCCUAACACAUGCAAGUCGAACGAGACCUUCGGGUCUAGUGGCGCACGGGUGCGUAACGCGUGGGAACCUGCCCUUAGGUUCGGAAUAACUCCCCGAAAGGGGUGCUAAUACCGGAUAAUGUCUUCGGACCAAAGAUUUAUCGCCUUUGGAUGGGCCCGCGUUGGAUUAGCUAGUUGGUAGGGUAAAAGCCUACCAAGGCGACGAUACAUAGCUGGUCUGAGAGGAUGAUCAGCCACACUGGGGCUGAGACACGGCCCAGACUCCUACGGGAGGCAGCCGUGGGGAAUAUUGGACUAUGGGCGAAAGCCUGAUCCAGCAAUGCCGCGUGAGUGAUGAAGGCCUUAGGGUUGUAAAGCUCUUUUACCCGGGAUGAUAAUGACAGUACCGGGAGAAUAAGCUCCGGCUAACUCCGUG